GCAGCUUGUGGUUCGGACGGAGACGCAGGGCCUACUGGGUCCCUGCUCCUGCUGGGAGGUCCUGCGGGCAAUGAGCUGUGUUAGAAGCCAGGGGUUGCCGACGAUGGACAUGAAACAACAGAGCCCCCGGCAGCCAAGCUACCGGGUGUCCUGGCCCCCUUCAGUUCCCUCCCUUGUCCUCCUCGAGGACCCCCCAACUCAGGCACCCACACCACGGGGGGCUGCGGGACCCCGAGCCUCACUCGUGCCACCGGCCACCCAGCGUCCCCUGCAUCUUCCCCGGGGACUCACACACCGCCUCGAGGCCACUCCGCCCCUCCGGAUGGAUGUCCAAGCCUCCAGCCAGGGCCCCUUCCCUGCUUCAUCUCCAGGGUUGACGGAGGUCGAAGGAGCACAUGUCUGCUUGCAGGGCACGCCAGGUCCUGAUGGACACUGACGUCUAGACCUAGACGGUGGCUCAGCCUGAACCCUGGACGGCCUGGAGCACAGCCAUGCAACUGCUUCUAAGACAAAACCGAGCAGGAGCAUCUGCCAACGUCUCCACAUUGUGGACCUGAGAUUGUUCUCCGGAAGCUGCAGUCGGAGCAUCGCCAGGCCCAGCCCUGGGUCCUCCACCCGGGCCACUGCCUCUCAGGCGGCCUCUCCCUGCCCCCGCCCCUCCGGGGCCCCACAGGGCGGCCAGUGCAGACCUGGGUGUGCAACGGCCCCAUCAGCGUUUGUUUCAUGAACAAAUAAAUGUCUAAAUUCAG
rnacentral:lncRNA from 1 species